GCUUAGAAGUGAGAAUGCCGGUGUGAGUAGCGAAAGACGGGUGAGAAUCCCGUCCACCGAUUGACUAAGGUUUCCAGAGGAAGGCUCGUCCGCUCUGGGUUAGUCGGGUCCUAAGCUGAGGCCGACAGGCGUAGGCGAUGGAUAACAGGUUGAUAUUCCUGUACCACCUAUAAUCGUUUUAAUCGAUGGGGGGACGCAGUAGGAUAGGCGAAGCGUGCGAUUGGAUUGCACGUCUAAGCAGUAAGGCUGAGUAUUAGGCAAAUCCGGUACUCGUUAAGGCUGAGCUGUGAUGGGGAGAAGACAUUGUGUCUUCGAGUCGUUGAUUUCACACUGCCGAGAAAAGCCUCUAGAUAGAAAAUAGGUGCCCGUACCGCAAACCGACACAGGUAGUCAAGAUGAGAAUUCUAAGGUGAGCGAGCGAACUCUCGUUAAGGAACUCGGCAAAAUGACCCCGUAACUUCGGGAGAAGGGGUGCUCUUUAGGGUUAACGCCCAGAAGAGCCGCAGUGAAUAGGCCCAAGCGACUGUUUAUCAAAAACACAGGUCUCUGCUAAACCGUAAGGUGAUGUAUAGGGGCUGACGCCUGCCCGGUGCUGGAAGGUUAAGAGGAGUGGUUAGCUUCUGCGAAGCUACGAAUCGAAGCCCCAGUAAACGGCGGCCGUAACUAUAACGGUCCUAAGGUAGCGAAAUUCCUUGUCGGGUAAGUUCCGACCCGCACGAAAGGCGUAACGAUUUGGGCACUGUCUCAACGAGAGACUCGGUGAAAUCAUAGUACCUGUGAAGAUGCAGGUUACCCGCGACAGGACGGAAAGACCCCGUGGAGCUUUACUGUAGCCUGAUAUUGAAAUUCGGCACAGCUUGUACAGGAUAGGUAGGAGCCUUUGAAACGUGAGCGCUAGCUUACGUGGAGGCGCUGGUGGGAUACUACCCUAGCUGUGUUGGCUUUCUAACCCGCACCACUUAUCGUGGUGGGAGACAGUGUCAGGCGGGCAGUUUGACUGGGGCGGUCGCCUCCUAAAAGGUAACGGAGGCGCUCAAAGGUUCCCUCAGAAUGGUUGGAAAUCAUUCAUAGAGUGUAAAGGCAUAAGGGAGCUUGACUGCGAGACCUACAAGUCGAGCAGGGUCGAAAGACGGACUUAGUGAUCCGGUGGUUCCGCAUGGAAGGGCCAUCGCUCAACGGAUAAAAGCUACCCCGGGGAUAACAGGCUUAUCUCCCCCAAGAGUUCACAUCGACGGGGAGGUUUGGCACCUCGAUGUCGGCUCAUCGCAUCCUGGGGCUGUAGUCGGUCCCAAGGGUUGGGCUGUUCGCCCAUUAAAGCGGUACGCGAGCUGGGUUCAGAACGUCGUGAGACAGUUCGGUCCCUAUCCGUCGUGGGCGUAGGAAAUUUGAGAGGAGCUGUCCUUAGUACGAGAGGACCGGGAUGGACAUACCUCUGGUGUACCAGUUGUCGUGCCAACGGCAUAGCUGGGUAGCUAUGUGUGGACGGGAUAAGUGCUGAAAGCAUCUAAGCAUGAAGCCCCCCUCAAGAUGAGAUUUCCCAACUUCGGUUAUAAGAUCCCUCAAAGAUGAUGAGGUUAAUAGGUUCGAGGUGGAAGCAUGGUGACAUGUGGAGCUGACGAAUACUAAUCGAUCGAAGACUUAAUCAAAA
rnacentral:rRNA from 1 species